AACUCUCAACCCCCCUGUUUUGUAAUGAGAUAGGCGUGGGCUUGGAUUAUGGCUGUCUGUCGGCGUAAAGUCGGCUCAGCUGAAAUACACGAGCAACCCAUUUGAAAUAGACGGUUUGACUCGGCGUAAUAAUUAUUAUCGCUGAGGACGUCUACCUUUCAAAUCGUUAGUGGUGCUUCUAAUGCUUCAUCUAGAACUUUUAAGC
rnacentral:misc_RNA from 1 species